rnacentral:rRNA from 1 species
GGGUUGUGAGGUUAAGCGACUAAGCGUACACGGUGGAUGCCCUGGCAGUCAGAGGCGAUGAAGGACGUGCUAAUCUGCGAUAAGCGUCGGUAAGGUGAUAUGAACCGUUAUAACCGGCGAUUUCCGAAUGGGGAAACCCAGUGUGAUUCGUCACACUAUCAUUAACUGAAUCCAUAGGUUAAUGAGGCGAACCGGGGGAACUGAAACAUCUAAGUACCCCGAGGAAAAGAAAUCAACCGAGAUUCCCCCAGUAGCGGCGAGCGAACGGGGAGGAGCCCAGAGCCUGAAUCAGUGUGUGUGUUAGUGGAAGCGUCUGGAAAGGCGCGCGAUACAGGGUGACAGCCCCGUACACAAAAAUACACAUAUUGUGAGCUCGAUGAGUAGGGCGGGACACGUGGUAUCCUGUCUGAAUAUGGGGGGACCAUCCUCCAAGGCUAAAUACUCCUGACUGACCGAUAGUGAACCAGUACCGUGAGGGAAAGGCGAAAAGAACCCCGGCGAGGGGAGUGAAAAAGAACCUGAAACCGUGUACGUACAAGCAGUGGGAGCACGCUUAGGCGUGUGACUGCGUACCUUUUGUAUAAUGGGUCAGCGACUUAUAUUCUGUAGCAAGGUUAACCGAAUAGGGGAGCCGAAGGGAAACCGAGUCUUAACUGGGCGUUAAGUUGCAGGGUAUAGACCCGAAACCCGGUGAUCUAGCCAUGGGCAGGUUGAAGGUUGGGUAACACUAACUGGAGGACCGAACCGACUAAUGUUGAAAAAUUAGCGGAUGACUUGUGGCUGGGGGUGAAAGGCCAAUCAAACCGGGAGAUAGCUGGUUCUCCCCGAAAGCUAUUUAGGUAGCGCCUCGUGAAUUCAUCUCCGGGGGUAGAGCACUGUUUCGGCAAGGGGGUCAUCCCGACUUACCAACCCGAUGCAAACUGCGAAUACCGGAGAAUGUUAUCACGGGAGACACACGGCGGGUGCUAACGUCCGUCGUGAAGAGGGAAACAACCCAGACCGCCAGCUAAGGUCCCAAAGUCAUGGUUAAGUGGGAAACGAUGUGGGAAGGCCCAGACAGCCAGGAUGUUGGCUUAGAAGCAGCCAUCAUUUAAAGAAAGCGUAAUAGCUCACUGGUCGAGUCGGCCUGCGCGGAAGAUGUAACGGGGCUAAACCAUGCACCGAAGCUGCGGCAGCGACGCUUAUGCGUUGUUGGGUAGGGGAGCGUUCUGUAAGCCUGUGAAGGUGUGCUGUGAGGCAUGCUGGAGGUAUCAGAAGUGCGAAUGCUGACAUAAGUAACGAUAAAGCGGGUGAAAAGCCCGCUCGCCGGAAGACCAAGGGUUCCUGUCCAACGUUAAUCGGGGCAGGGUGAGUCGACCCCUAAGGCGAGGCCGAAAGGCGUAGUCGAUGGGAAACAGGUUAAUAUUCCUGUACUUGGUGUUACUGCGAAGGGGGGACGGAGAAGGCUAUGUUGGCCGGGCGACGGUUGUCCCGGUUUAAGCGUGUAGGCUGGUUUUCCAGGCAAAUCCGGAAAAUCAAGGCUGAGGCGUGAUGACGAGGCACUACGGUGCUGAAGCAACAAAUGCCCUGCUUCCAGGAAAAGCCUCUAAGCAUCAGGUAACAUCAAAUCGUACCCCAAACCGACACAGGUGGUCAGGUAGAGAAUACCAAGGCGCUUGAGAGAACUCGGGUGAAGGAACUAGGCAAAAUGGUGCCGUAACUUCGGGAGAAGGCACGCUGAUAUGUAGGUGAAGUCCCUUGCGGAUGGAGCUGAAAUCAGUCGAAGAUACCAGCUGGCUGCAACUGUUUAUUAAAAACACAGCACUGUGCAAACACGAAAGUGGACGUAUACGGUGUGACGCCUGCCCGGUGCCGGAAGGUUAAUUGAUGGGGUCAGCGCAAGCGAAGCUCUUGAUCGAAGCCCCGGUAAACGGCGGCCGUAACUAUAACGGUCCUAAGGUAGCGAAAUUCCUUGUCGGGUAAGUUCCGACCUGCACGAAUGGCGUAAUGAUGGCCAGGCUGUCUCCACCCGAGACUCAGUGAAAUUGAACUCGCUGUGAAGAUGCAGUGUACCCGCGGCAAGACGGAAAGACCCCGUGAACCUUUACUAUAGCUUGACACUGAACAUUGAGCCUUGAUGUGUAGGAUAGGUGGGAGGCUUGGAAGUGUGGACGCCAGUCUGCAUGGAGCCGACCUUGAAAUACCACCCUUUAAUGUUUGAUGUUCUAACGUUGACCCGUAAUCCGGGUUGCGGACAGUGUCUGGUGGGUAGUUUGACUGGGGCGGUCUCCUCCUAAAGAGUAACGGAGGAGCACGAAGGUUGGCUAAUCCUGGUCGGACAUCAGGAGGUUAGUGCAAUGGCAUAAGCCAGCUUGACUGCGAGCGUGACGGCGCGAGCAGGUGCGAAAGCAGGUCAUAGUGAUCCGGUGGUUCUGAAUGGAAGGGCCAUCGCUCAACGGAUAAAAGGUACUCCGGGGAUAACAGGCUGAUACCGCCCAAGAGUUCAUAUCGACGGCGGUGUUUGGCACCUCGAUGUCGGCUCAUCACAUCCUGGGGCUGAAGUAGGUCCCAAGGGUAUGGCUGUUCGCCAUUUAAAGUGGUACGCGAGCUGGGUUUAGAACGUCGUGAGACAGUUCGGUCCCUAUCUGCCGUGGGCGCUGGAGAACUGAGGGGGGCUGCUCCUAGUACGAGAGGACCGGAGUGGACGCAUCACUGGUGUUCGGGUUGUCAUGCCAAUGGCACUGCCCGGUAGCUAAAUGCGGAAGAGAUAAGUGCUGAAAGCAUCUAAGCACGAAACUUGCCCCGAGAUGAGUUCUCCCUGAC